AAAAGAAAUUCGGUGCAGGAUGAGUCCGCGUCUGAUUAGCUAGUUGGAGGGGUAAGAGCCCACCAAGGCAACGAUCAGUAGCCGGCCUGAGAGGGCGACCGGCCACAUUGGGACUGAGACACGGCCCAAACUCCUACGGGAGGCAGCAGUGGGGAAUAUUGCACAAUGGGGGAAACCCUGAUGCAGCGACGCCGCGUGAGCGAGGAAGUAUUUCGGUAUGUAAAGCUCUAUCAGCAGGGACGAAAAAAGACGGUACUUGACUAAGAAGCCCCGGCUAACUACGUGCCAGCAGCCGCGGUAAUACGUAGGGGGCAAGCGUUAUCCGGAUUUACUGGAUGUAAAGGGAGCGUAGACGGCAAGGCAAGCCAGAAGUGAAAGGGCAGGGCUCAACCCCGUACAUGCUUUUGGAACUGUGGUGCUAGAGUGCAGGAGAGGUAAGUGGAAUUCCUAGUGUAGCGGUGAAAUGCGUAGAUAUUAGGAGGAACACCAGUGGCGAAGGCGGCUUACUGGACUGUAACUGACGUUGAGGCUCGAAAGCGUGGGGAGCAAACAGGAUUAGAUACCCUGGUAGUCCACGCUGUAAACG
rnacentral:rRNA from 1 species